GUUCGGUGCACACGGGUGGAGUAGUGGCGAAUAAAUGCCUACGUUACAGGUAACGUAUGUCUUAAAUGCUAAUAAAGGCACAUGGAAACGUACGACCGUUUCCCUCCAGGGGGGUUACGAUGCACAUAGUGGAAUCCAGUCGGUUAGUUUGAUACAUUCCGAAUGCUCAUCUCCGACUGGAUGGUGGAGGAUUUGUUACCGACUGGAUGAUAGGAAGUCCAUAAG
rnacentral:lncRNA from 1 species